GGAUCAUUCUAUAGUUCAUAACUAGAGAAGCUCUCUGAUCAUGUAGAGCACCAAAACACGAGGAGGAGGCGCAGCGUUCUCUCCUGAGCGUGAAGCCGGCACUUGGUGUUGCUUUAUGUAACUGCCGCUUGCCACUGAUGAUCGUUCUUCUCUUCUUUGUGGAGGGAGAAAGAGGGAAGAAGGCCAUCUGAGUGG
rnacentral:snoRNA from 1 species